ACUACGGGAGGCAGCAGUGGGGGAUAUUGCACAAUGGGGGGAACCCUGAUGCAGCGACGCCGCGUGGGUGAAGAAGCGCCUCGGCGCGUAAAGCCCUGUCAGCAGGGAAGAAAAUGACGGUACCUGAAGAAGAAGCCCCGGCUAACUACGUGCCAGCAGCCGCGGUAAUACGUAGGGGGCAAGCGUUAUCCGGAUUUACUGGGUGUAAAGGGGGCGCAGACGGCGAUGCAAGCCAGGAGUGAAAGCCCGGGGCCCAACCCCGGGACUGCUCUUGGAACUGCGUGGCUGGAGUGCAGGAGGGGCAGGCGGAAGUCCUGGUGUAGCGGUGAAAUGCGUAGAUAUCAGGAGGAACACCGGUGGCGAAGGCGGCCUGCUGGACUGCAACUGACGUUGAGGCCCGAAAGCGUGGGGAGCAAACAGGAUUAGAUACCCGAGUAGUC
rnacentral:rRNA from 1 species